GGAUCGCGGCAAGGGGAUCGCUAGCUAGAUAGCGAGGAUUUACCGUUGCUUAGGUGGUUUUCUCUCUUUUUGUUAUAGUUGAGAGAGAGUGGGGUUUUGUAUCCAUGUAUAGAGACUACCUAUGUAUUUACUUGUAGCUCUUGUUUCGAGAUUCUUUUUGUACUACUUUAUGUUUUCAUCUAGUGGAUUUUAGUUUUGUGGUUCUUAUCCUCUGUUGUAGCAUCUAGAUAUACUUGCUCUGAUACUCCUAGAUGUUUUCUUUUUACUGCUUCCUUUAUCGUUUUGUUUUAGACGCCUUAUUGUUUUAGACAUAUGGUGGGUUUGGACACGCGCCGGGCGGGCUUCCGCUGGGUCCCGGGGCGUGAUAGAUUAGUUUGGUAUCAGAGCCUAGGGCUGAGUUUUAGUGGACCUAGCAAACCUUAUGCCGGUUGGACUAUAGGAAAUAGGCUCGUGAGAGACGAGAUCUUUUUGACUUGUAAGCGAAAGUAUUUUGAUUGGGUAUCUUGGUAACUCUAGAAAGUGGAGUUAAAUCGAAGUGUAUAGCUCCUAACUUCGCGGAGGGUUACGUUGGCGGCCGACAACGUAACAUCGGGAGUUUGUAGUGAAGCACACUUCAUUACUUUCGCAGGAUUUGGGGCAUUACCUUCUUGAGUGGGGAUUUAAUGGCGUGAGUUUACUAACUUACGAUUCUAUGAUGUUGUAGUGAGAUGCGAGACCUUUGCAAAUUGUGAGGUUCAAGUGUUUGAUAUGGAUCCCGAACUUUUCCACACUUGGUGGAAGGUCGUUGAUGGUAUUCCGACCUAAAAGUUCGAUUCCUGGAGUUUUGACAUUGUCCUGAGAGUUUUCACUCUCGGGGACCGAUUCCUGAUGGGAAAGACCGGUCCCCUCAGCACAGUGUCGCGGCCAGCUUGAGGAGGUCGAGACCUCUGCUACAUCCGGAUCUGGCGAGGUCCAGGAGUUGAGGAGCCAGCUUGCGGCCCUCACCGACUUAGUGACUCAGCAGGCGGAGGCGGCACGACAGCAGACUGAGGCGACGCGCUGGCAGGAGGCGCGGAUUAAACGCCUGGAGGACCUUCUUCUGCAGCAGGCGACAGUUUCCAGAGAGACGCAGGACCCUACACCGCCCGCACCAGUUGUGGACGUCGCGCCUACAGCGCUGUCCCCUGCGCCCAGUUCGUCGCGUGCGGCGCCCUUGGCCGUGCCUCAGGAGGAGGCUAUUGUGGCACCACCUGUGCAGAGACCCCCGGUUGGAGCAACUUUCCCUACCUUGGUCGAGGGAGCGGAGCGGGACAGACUGAUGGAGCGCCUCAACGAGUUCAGGAGGUGCAGUCCCCAGAUCUUCGACGGCGAGAAGGUCGACCAUUGGAUCAUGGAGAAGUGGUUGAUGCAUAUGGAGAAACUCUUCCACGACACCUUCGUGGAGGAGAGAGAUCGAGUUUGGCUCGCCACUCACUAUUUGGACGGCGAGGCCUAUCGCUGGUGGUUGGAUCUUCAGGAAAACCUCAGCACCGACUUGGCAGCUAUUACUUGGAAGAAGUUCAAGGAGCUUCUGUUCGCGCACUACUUCUCAACCAGCGUUAAGAGGAAGAUGGAGCAGGAUCUGCGCAACUUGCGCCAAGGUGAUCGGACAGUAGUCGAGUACGAGCGAGAGUUUUCUCGGCUUCUACACUGCGUGCCUUUCGUCAUGCGGGACGAUGAGGACAAGGCCCGCAUCUUCGAGCGAGGGUUGCGACCGUCGAUCUUCCGGUUUGUGCAAUCCUCUAACCUCCAAACCUACCGGGAGGUGGUGGAUCGCGUGCUCAUCGUGGAGAACGGCGCGGCAGACGUCCAGGAGCGGCGAGAGGUGAUUAACAAGGGUAAGGCCAAGAGGCCCGCGGCUGAGGGUGCGGGCGAGACGCACUCUAGGAGGCCGCCGAAAUACCCUAGGAGCCAACAGCGUGGGCGCGGCCCGGCAGCGUAGCGUGGAGGUUCUAAUCGACGCCGACCUCCCCAGUGCGUGAUCUGCGGUGGUCCUCACACUCCACCGCAGUGUCCACAGCGGGGAGGCAGGUCCUACUUGUGUAGCCAGGAGGGCCACUUCCGGACUGAGUGCCCGAGGAGAUCGUCAUCGGCACCAUCGACUGCAUCGGCACUUGCUCUACCAGCCGCUAGCCACGGGACUCCGUCGACACAGUACCAGCCUGGGCGGCCACCCGUCCAGCGCUAGAGUGAGGGUUCUCGACAGGCUCCGAGUGGGCGUAUGUAUACCGCUCAGACCGAGGAGGCGGCAACAGCCGAGGAUGUGGUUGCAGGUAUCAUUUUACUUGAUGGCAUUAGAGUUCGUGCUUUAUUUGAUACCGGUGCAUCGCAUUCAUUUAUAGAUCGGCUAUUUGCCGAGUUGCAUGGCAUCUCUUGGGUUUCUUUGUUGCAUCCGGGACAUGUUGUAGUACCCGACCACACUCUGGAUAUUAGAGAGUAUUGCCCUAGCUGCCCUGUUCGGGUAGGGGAUUGGAUCAUGCCCGUGGAUUUGCUAGCUCUGCGCAAGCUCGAGGAUUUUGAUGUGGUCUUGGGUAUGGAUUGGCUAACCAAGUAUUAUGCCACGAUUGAUUGUAAGAAUCGCACGGUUACUUUUAGAGAACCGGGGCAGACUGAGGUAGUGUUUAGAGGAUGUCGGAGUUUGCUUUUUGCGAUGUCGAUCAGCUCGUCUCGAGCACGGCAGCUGAUCAGCCGAGGAUGUGUAGCCUACUUGGCUAGUGUUGCGUUGAGGGGCGAGGAUGACACCCCUAGGAUUGAGGAUGUCCCGGUGGUACGGGAGUUUCGGGACGUGUUUCCAGCUGAGCUACCGAGUAUGCCACCCGAUAGGGAGAUCGAGUUUGUGGUUGAUCUCACCCCUGGGACUACUCCAAUCUCGAAAGUGCCCUAUAGGAUGGCACCGGCGUAGCUAAAGGAGCUUAGGGCACAGCUACAGGAUCUGUUGGAUAAGGGCUUCAUUCGACCGAGCGUCUCGCCGUGGGGAGUGCUAGUUCUGUUCGUCAAGAAAAAGGACGGAUCAUUUCGCCUUUGUGUGGACUAUUGUGAACUCAAUAAAGUCACGAUCAAGAAUAAGUAUCUGUCGCCGAGGAUCGAUGAUUUGUUUUAUCAGCUUCAAGGAUCGUAUGUGUAUUCCAAGAUAGACUUGCAGUCGGGAUACCACCAGUUAAAGAUCAAACCCGAGAAUGUAUCGAAAACAGCUUUUAGAACACGGUAUGGACAUUAUGAGUUCAUAGUUAUGCCGUUUGGGCUUACUAAUGCCCCGGCAGCUUUUAUGGAUCUUAUGAACCGUAUUUUCAAGCCUUACUUGGACAGAUUUGUCGUGGUGUUUAUCGACGAUAUUUUUGCUUAUUCCCGAAGUGACGCGGAUCACGAGGAGCAUUUGAGGCUUGUACUUCAAAUACUUUGGAAAAAGGAGCUUCAUGCCAAGUUGAGAAAGUGUGAAUUUUCGCUUCGAGAGGUAGCCUUCCUUGGACAUUUCAUAUCGGGAUCGGGUAUAGCCAUGGAUCCUAAGAAGAUUGAAGUAAUCAAGGAUUGGCCGAGACCGACGAGCGUCACGGAGAUACGGAGCUUCCUUGGAUUUGCCGGUUACUACCGGAGGUUUGUUGAGGGAUUUGCUAAGCUAUUUACUCCCCUCACGAGGCUCACGCAUAAAGGUGUCAAGUUCAUCUGGAAUGAUGCGUGUGAGAGAAGCCCAAGAGCUGAAGCAACGAUUGACGACCGCCCCUAUCCUAACCUUGCCAGUUGCUGGAGCAGGGUAUGUGGUUUAUAGUGAUGCUUCACUUAAUGGAUUGGGUUGUGUGUUGAUGCAGGAUGGCAAAGUGAUCGCGUAUGCUUCGCGCCAACUGAAGGAAUAUGAAAAGAAUUACCCUACGUAUGAUUUGGAGUUGGCGGCCGUAGUCUUCGCAUUGAAGUUAUGGCGCCACUACUUAUAUGGCGAGCGGUGUGAAGUAUACACGGAUCACAAGAGCUUAAAGUAUUUGUUUACUCGGAAGGAGUUGAACUUGAGACAGCGCAGAUAGUUGGAGCUGCUCAAGAAUUAUGAUUUGACUAUCCUUUACCAUCCGGGCAAGGUUAACGUGGUGGCGAAUGCGCUAAGUAGGAAAUCAACAGAAAACUUAGCAAUGCAUGUUGUUACUCAACCGCAAUUGAUCGAGCAGAUGAAGCGGCUGGAGUUGGAGGUAGUGACUCCUGACACGCCUGUGAGGUUAAUGACUUUGGUGAUGCAACCUACACUCUUGGAUAGAAUUAAAGAGAAGCAAGCUUCCGAUGUGGAGUUGCAAAAGAUUAAAGGUAAAAUGGUUGAUGGUUGCAUCGGCGAUUUCAUUGUGGAUGACCAAGGAUUAAUGCGUUUCCGUGGACGGAUUUGUGUAUCGGCAGAUCCGGGAAUUAAGGAGGAUAUUCUUCAAGAAGCGCACCGAGCGCCCUAUUCUAUACAUCCGGGAGCCACCAAGAUGUAUAAAGACUUAAAGUUGCUCUAUUGGUGACCUGGGAUGAAAAAGGACGUUGGCGAGUUUGUAGCUCGAUGUCUGACUUGCCAACAAGUGAAAGCUGAGCACCGAUUACCCGCGAAAAAGCUUCAGAGUUUGCCUAUCCCCGUGUGGAAGUGGGAGAAGAUCACCAUGGACUUCGUGACUGGAUUGCCCCGCUCCCAGGCCGGGCAUGAUGCUAUAUGGGUGAUCGUGGAUAGGUUGACGAAGUCGGCGCACUUCAUACCUAUUCAUACUACUUGGAUCGGAGAAAAGCUCACAUAAGUGUACCUUGACGAGAUUGUGCGACUCCAUGGAGUGCCUACAUCGAUCGUAUCGGAUCGAGACAGUCGGUUUGUGUCUCACUUUUGGAGGAGUCUACAGGACGCCCUAGGCGCUCGACUGGACUUUAGUACUGCUUUCCACCCCAGAGUGAUGGGCAGUUGGAGCACACCAUUCAGACUUUAGAGGAUAUGCUCCGAGCAUGUGUGAUAGACUUCCAGGGAGGAUGGUCGCAGCAUCUACCGAUGGCGGAGUUUGCUUAUAACAACAGUUAUCAAGCAAGCAUCAAGAUGACGCCCUUCGAAGCACUCUAUGGACGGAAGUGUAGAUCGCCACUUCAUUGGAGUGAAGUUGGCGAGAGAUUGGCGUUAGGCCCUGAUGUGCUCCAGGAAGCUGAGGACAAAGUUCGAAUUGCUCGGGAGCGACUUUUGAUGGCACAGAGUAGACAGAGGAGCUACGCUGACCGACGACGGCGAGACUUGGAGUUCCAAGUUGGAGACCAUGUUUUCUUGAAGGUCUCGCCGACUAGAGGGAUCAAGAGAUUCGGGAUUCGGGGUAAGUUGAGCCCCCGUUUCAUUGGACCGUAUGAGAUUUUGGAACGUGUAGGUCCGGUAGCGCAUCGACUUGCUCUACCACCGAACUUAUCGGGCGUGCACAACGUUUUUCAUGUAUCGGUCCUUCGGAAGUAUGUUUUCGACCCAACUCAUGUGCUGGAUGCCACACCUGUGGAGUUGCGGGACGACUUGAGCUUCGAGUAGCAACCAGUGAGGAUCUUGGCUCGUGAGGUGCGGAAACUGCGGAAUCGGGAUAUUUCGUAUGUGAAAGUUCUUUGGAGCAACCACGGGGAGCGGGAGGCCACGUGGGAGCUAGAGAGCGUGCUGCGGGAGCGCUAUCCCCAUCUUUUUCAUAUGGAGCUUUGAGGUAUGUGCUGUUGCUUUGAGUUUUGCGGACGAAACUCCUUUUUAGAAGGGGUGAAUGUAGCACAAUGGACCUUUGCAAAUUGCGAGGUUCGAGUAUUUGAUAUGGAUCCCGAACUUUUCCACAUUUGGUGGAAGGUCGUUGAUGGUAUUCUGACCUAAAAGUUCGAUUCCUGGAGUUUUGACAUUGUCCUGAGAGUUUUCACUCUCGGAGACCGGUCCCUGAUGGGAGAGACCGGUCCCCUCAGUACAGUGUCGCGGCCUGCUUGAGGCAACUGGUCCUUGGUUGUGAGAGACCGGUUCCCGAACGCGUGUUUUGCGAGAAGGGUCCGAGAGACCGGUCCCUGGCAGGGAGAGAUCGGUUCCCGAACGUUGGUUCUGCGGGGGAGGCUGAGAGACCGGUCCCAGGUGUCGGGGAGACCGGUCCCUCAGCACGAAAACUGCCCAGACCGGGCAGUGAACAAGGUGACUUUUUGAGGGGCUUAUAUGGAUUUUGUUACUUCUAAGGGCCUUAAGGCCAUUUUCUCUCCUUCUCACCCUCAUUUCACUCCCUCACACUCACUCACAAGUGGGCACUCCGGAGUUAGCCAUCGCGACAUAUGCUCGCUCGUGCGGGAUUGGGCGCCGAAAUGGGAUGCCGUGGGGGAGGCUCAUUCCUAGAGUGGGGAUGUUGACUACCACGGGGCCAUUAGGCACGGCGCAGGCCGGACUACCCACGGGUGGGUCCUACAGGAUUGGAUCAUUGAUGACUUGGCAUACCGAUUGGACAUUGACUAGAAUAGUAAACAAGAGAUUUUACUAUUUAGCUUGUGGACAUCAUGCUAAUGACAUUUUGGUGUAUUCAUGUUAGAAUAGCCCUUUUAUUACUUAUGCAAUUCAUGCUAAGUAGAGAUAUCAUAUUGUAGUAAGUUAUAUGUUUACUCACAUAUCGAUUCUAUUGCUUUUAUUGUUACUUACCUGUUUAGCUCUUUUGGGCAUAGUGGUGCUUUCACUGAAGUCAGUAAUUGUCCACUAGGAACUAUUAUUUAAUAGUUCUCACGCCCCCUGUUUUAUGUUUCUUUUUCAGAGCCCUCUGCACCGGCGGAGGCACGGGAUCGCGGCAAGGGGAUCGCUAGCUAGAUAGCGAGGAUUUACCGUUGCUUAGGUGGUUUUCUCUCUUUUUGUUAUAGUUGAGAGAGAGUGAGGUUUUGUAUCCAUGUAUAGAGAUCACCUAUGUAUUUACUUAUAGCUCUUGUUUCGAGAUUCCUCUUGUACUACUUUAUGUUUUCAUCUAGUGGAUUUUAGUUUUCUGGUUCUUAUCCUCUGUUGUAGCAUUUAGAUAUACUUGCUCUGAUACUCCUAGAUGUUUUCUUUUACUGCUUCC
rnacentral:lncRNA from 1 species